AUACUUACCUGGCAGGGGAGAUACAAUGAUCAUGAAGGUGGUUUUCCUGGGGGCGAGGCUUAUCCAUUGCGUUCCAGAUGUGCUGACCCCUGGGAUUUGCCCAAAUGUGGGAAACUUGACUGCAGAAUUUGUGGUAGUGGCGGACUGAGUUUAUGUUCUUCCCUA